ACAUAAGUAAGAACCUCUUCUUCACUCAGAGUCUUCUCCCCACUUCUUUCACCAUCAUUUUACUCGGCGUGGACACUUCGUCGGAAUGGUUCGCCAGAAAAGUUACUCGAUUCUCGUGCGUGAGAUAUAUCUCUGGCUCCGCAUAUUUUGGAGGAGCGUCGAUUAAGCCUAAGGAGCGGUGUAUCGACGACAUUUUGGUAGCGAGAUUGCUUGCCGGGUCAUGCGAACGGCGAAGCGUUUAGGGAUUCAAACCGACCAUUGCUGUUUGCAGUUGACGCUGAUUGAGAUGCGCUCCACGUGAAGUCUGCAGACGAAGCGGUACUGAAUGGCUCGCCCUCGGCUCGGUUCGGCUCAGUUACCUCAGUGGUGCGACUAUCAUGGAGGCAUAAGGUGUGAUUCUGGUAUGAUGAAAAGAUGAGAGAUGGAUGACUAACAGAGUAUUCCAGUGUCCUCUCCCCUGAUCAUUACCAAUAAGAUGUGUUGUGUUGUGUUGUGUUUGUUCGGCGGCCGACCUAUAUUGUUCUUGCCGAUGCUCUCUCUCUCUCUCGGUGUUUUGAAGUAGAGCUCAGCUCAGGGAUAUAUCUAAGCUAACGAGUGAAGAUGAUGUAUACCACAAGAGAGAGAGUCACAAGCACAUGAGAUGACUUCUAAGCUCACCCGGCGGGAAUGAGUCAACUCGGGUUCAAUGGCUCUGCUUCUUCUAAACUUGGUUACCAAUCUCCCAAAAUAGGUGUGUACUCAAAAGGGGUCUCGGUGUUGAUCCCGGGAGACCAUAUACCCCGUACCCGCACCAGUACCCUGUGUUUCCAACAGUCGAAGUUCAAGUCCGAACUCCACCAUCCAAGAAUGUUAAAAGUUGAAUGCAUAAUAAUUCCAUGCUUUUCUGCUUAUGCGGUUAACUUUUUUUUUUGUAUCGUGUUUCGCCUCUUGAUUUCAACUUCAUUGCUGAGAUUUUAUGAGGUACAAUAUGAAAAAAGUUGUAUAUAAUUAAUUAGAGGAACCAAAGUUGUAUAUAAUUAAUUAGAGCCCUGGCUUAAGUUA